AUGGAGUUGGUAAUUACCAACAGCAGCCAAAUAAUUUGUGGAACCUUGGGGUGCAUGCUGACUGGAACUUGCAUCGCACCAUGCAUCCUCAUUCUUCAGUUACAAACACAGUGGAAGCAACGAACAGAGAGUGCUGCUAAACAGAGACUUCGGGCCACCAUCCGGGUGUUCUUUAACGACCAGGGCUUCGACCUCCGCAUCUCCCCUGAGCCUCCCAACCAUAUUGGCCACCCUCGCAUCGACGACAGCUUCCCUGGGGGCGGCCCCGUUGGGGGUGGCACAGGGGGCCACCGCAGCGACCGUGACCCACGGCACGGCCACCACUCGGGCUCGGACGAGGACGACGACGACCUCGAGGACAGCCCCCACCAUGACCAGCCGCCUGUUCCAGCCACCAGGGGUGGGGAUGGGGCGCGUCGUACCCACUCGGCUGCCCCACCGUCCUCCGAUGACGGCCCCGACGCCUCUGAUGUCAGUCUCCAGGUUUGUCCGGCUUCUUCGCCCCGCUCCCCAGACGAUAUCUCCCUCGGCAUCUUCGCCUCCUCCCCGACCAGGGCCGAGCCGAAGCUGCCUGAUCCGACCCCCACUGCGGCCGAUCUCCAGUUGGUGCCGCUGGGGGGUUUGGCUUCGGACCCGGCUCCGUCUCCCCCGGGACCUUCGGAGGUCGCUCCUGGCUCCCCGGCCCGGCCGGCCAGCCUGCCCGUGGGGGUUGACGCGCCUGCGGACCCACCUCCCUUCCCUGGCGUCCCCUGCGUGACGUCUCCUGCUCCCCCCUUGGUGCCGUCGAGCUCUUCUCCCGCGGGCCUGGCGGUGGUGGUGACCACACCGGUGGCUGCUCCACCUCCUCCCCCUCGGGCUGCGAGGCGGGGCCGUUCGACCUCGUCCCCGGUGUCCUCCUCGCGCCGCAGUGCUCGGAUUGAGGCGUCCAGGCCGCUGGGUGGCCUGGCCCUACCCAUCCCCGAGCUCGCCGCCCUCCGGGCCGCUGCCCGGAACCUCGAGUCAGGUACCACGAUCUUCCCGGCCUCCUCUGCUACGUGCUCCUUUUCUGCCUUGGAGUCGGCCCCACUUGGCCACCUCAUAGAAGCUAUCCGUGCACGGGGAUCCUUGAUGGUCGGCUCGCCGAGGCCCGUGCACGCCCUCCCCCCGCCGCGGGAGCUCCGCUUGGGUCCUCCCCGAGCGCCCCACCCCACGCACCGGUCGCCCCGGAUGAGAUCCGGGGCCGCACUCGCUCUCGUACUGCCGCCCUCCACGCCCAGAGCGCGUCACGUGUUUUGGGGUCAAGCAGCCCCCCGAUGGAUGCCUGAUGAGAGCCUUAUUCUGGAACAUCCGCGUGGGAUCGCAGGCCACUCGGGUGGCAUCCUCCUAGGUGUGAAGGAUGCCACCCUUGAGGUUGGGGGCAUGGACCGGGGAGAGUUCUUUGUAAGCAUGGAGGUUUUCGAACGGUCCCUAAACUUUAAAUGGGAGAUCAUCGCGGUCUAUGGCCCGGCCGACCACCUUGGCGGCGACUUCAACCUCAUCCGGACGGAGGAAGACAAGAGCAAUAAUCUAGUGAAUUUUCCUCGGAUGCAAUUAUUCAAUGACUGCAUUGCAGAUAUGGGGUUGCGGGAACUCGAUCGGGUAGGGGCCAGAUUCACUUGGACUAAUCGCCAAGUCGAUCCGACUCGCUCGGUCCUCAAUCGAGUUUUCGCCUCCCUUGAGUGGGACAUUCGAUGCCACCUAGCAUCGCUGUGGGCGAUCACACGGAUUGGGUCAGACCAUGUACCCCUUCUCCUCUGUUCGGAGAAUGAACGUCCUCCUCCUCCGCCACGCUUCCGUUUUGAGACCUUCUGGUUGCGCCAUCCAGGCUUCACAGCUGCGGUGGUCGGCCGUUGGCGUGAGGCGAGGGACGCUCCCCAUAGGGCCCUGUCAGCCAUUGACUCUUGGCAUUUCUGCGCCAAGCGGUCGCGGCAGUUCUUGAAAGGAUGGGGUGCUAACGUGGGUCGGGACGUCCGUGAGCGGAAGAAAGCUCUCCUUAAUGACAUCCAAGCCCUCGACCUGCGGGCUGACACCACUGGACAUUUGGCCUGCCCACUGCUGCGUCUCGCCGGCGGACAACGCGGCCCUCACGGCCCCGUUCUCCGAGGAGGAGGUCCGGGCAGCCAUUAUGUGCAUGAACUCCUCCUCGGCCCCUGGCUCGGAUGGCCUCCCAGUUUAGUUUUUUCAGUCCUUCUGGGAGGUGAUCAAACCCGAGGCCGUACGGUCCUUAUUAACUCGUCCCUCGCCAGCCUCCUCUUAUUCAUCAUGAGCUUCUACAGCCUUCCGGAGACUCUUCAUCAUGAGAUUGCCACCGUUCAAGGGCGAUUUUACAGGGCCGGCGAGGGUGAUAAGCAGAAAUACCACAUGGUCAAGUGGUCCGAGAUCUGUAAACCCCGCGACCAGGGCGGCCUUGGGACCAUGUCCUCCAAACGCAUGAAUAUUGCCCUUUUGACUCGGUGGCUCUGGAGGAUUAACAACGGCGAAGGUGGCAUGUGGCUGCGCAUUAUUCAGCAGAAGUACCUCCGCGAACAGCCACUCGCCUUCUGUCAGCGCUCUGGAGGAUCUCAGUUCUGGCAAUCUGUCAUCCAGCUCCUCCCUGUCCUCCGGAUAGGGACCUCGAUUGAGAUCGGGUCCGGCACCGCCACGCUUUUCUGGUUUGAUCGCUGGACUGGGGACGCACCCCUGGCGUCCCGGUUUCCGGUCCUGUUCUCCAUCGCGGUGGCCCCCCAGAUCUCCGUGGCAAACGCCCUUCUUGACCUUGGGCGCCUCGCGUUCCGAAGGCCUUUUGGUCCUGCGGAGAAUGUGGACUGGCAGGAAUUGCUUGAUUGUGUGGCUCUCCAUGAGCCGGAUCUCACGACUGACGUUGACCGCGCCAGAUGGCGUCUUGAACCGUCCGCUGGCUGCUCAGCCACAAAAUUACCUCCACCGCAUCGUUCCAUGACCGCUUGGAGGCGGCCUGGCACCGGUUGGGGCAAUGGAACGCUUGCCGCCCGCCACGGCACGUCCUCCAAGUGCUUGUGUCCUCGCCAACAAAGGCGAUUGCUAGGCUUAUGUUUUUGGCGGCGAUAUGCUCGGUGGGGGGCGGCUACUUUUGUCUUGGCCGAGGAGGGGAUUGACGGAGGAAGGGCGGAGACAGCGGAGGGAAGGUGGGGUUCCUCGCCGGUACAGGGGAUGUUGGUCUGGAGGGAGCUCGGGGAGCUCUCCUGUCGUGCUCGCCACCAGCGCCUGUCGAUGGGAGAGGUAGUAGUCGCCGCGGUGGGGCGCAAGGUACUUUUCCCCCUGUCUCCCUGCUGUUAUCGCUCUGCCCAAUUUGUCCGUGUGUUGCUCGAUGUGAUAUGCCUCUCCCCGCGUUCAAUUCAGUUCAUCGUCAUGGUCGUCGCAGGUGUCGCUCAGUUAGUUGGUUGUUUGGCCAGGAAUGUUCGUGAUAGUUUAGUUCAUCAGGAACGCUCCUGA
rnacentral:rRNA from 1 species